rnacentral:rRNA from 1 species
GACGAACGCUGGCGGCGUGCUUAACACAUGCAAGUCGAGCGAGUUGAUUCCCUUCGGGGAUGAAGCUAGCGGCGGACGGGUGAGUAACACGUGGGCAACCUGCCUUAUAGAGGGGGAUAGCCUUCCGAAAGGAAGAUUAAUACCGCGUAACAUCAGAUUAUCGCAUGGUAGACUGAUCAAAGGAGUAAUCCGCUAUAAGAUGGGCCCGCGUCGCAUUAGCUAGUUGGUGAGGUAACGGCUCACCAAGGCGACGAUGCGUAGCCGACCUGAGAGGGUGAUCGGCGACAUUGGGACUGAGACACGGCCCAGACUCCUACGGGAGGCAGCAGUGGGGAAUAUUGCACAAUGGGGGAAACCCUGAUGCAGCAACGCCGCGUGAGUGAUGAAGGCCUUCGGGUUGUAAAGCUCUUUGAUCAGGGACGAUAAUGACGGUACCUGAAGAACAAGCCACGGCUAACUACGUGCCAGCCGCCGCGGUAAAAC